rnacentral:snRNA from 1 species
UGAAAUUCGUUCAAUCCA